rnacentral:rRNA from 1 species
GACGAACGCUGGCGGCGUGCCUAAUACAUGCAAGUCGAGCGGACUGAAUGGGAGCUUGCUCUUGUUCGGUCAGCGGCGGACGGGUGAGUAACACGUGGGCAACCUGCCCGCAAGACCGGGAUAACUCCGGGAAACCGGAGCUAAUACCGGAUAACACCGAAGACCGCAUGGUCUUUGGUUGAAAGGCGGCGCAAGCUGCCACUUGCGGAUGGGCCCGCGGCGCAUUAGCUAGUUGGUGAGGUAACGGCUCACCAAGGCGACGAUGCGUAGCCGGCCUGAGAGGGUGACCGGCCACACUGGGACUGAGACACGGCCCAGACUCCUACGGGAGGCAGCAGUAGGGAAUCUUCCGCAAAGGGCGAAAGCCUGACGGAGCGACGCCGCGUGAGCGAAGAAGGCCUUCGGGUCGUAAAGCUCUGUUGUGAGGGACGAAGGAGCGCCGUUUGAAGAAGGCGGCGCGGUGACGGUACCUCACGAGGAAGCCCCGGCUAACUACGU